rnacentral:rRNA from 1 species
UACGGGGGGUGCAAGCGUUAAUCGGAGUUAUUGGGCGUAAAGGGUUCGUAGGUUGUUUAUUAAGUUAUGUGGGAAAUACCUAGGCUUAACCUAGGAAUGUCGGAUAAUACUGGUAAACUUGAGUAUAGUAGAGGGUAGUGGAAUUUCCGGUGUAGCGGUGAAAUGCGUAGAGAUCGGAAGGAACACCAGUGGCGAAGGCGGCUACCUGGACUAAUACUGACACUGAGGAACGAAAGCGUGGGUAGCAAAC